rnacentral:sRNA from 1 species
AAUAUAUCAUAAUUUCGGGAAACUUUCUUUUAUUAAGAAUCAAAAAAAAAUUGUCUUAAAAUAGUAGCAUAAAUAAACUAAAAUCGGUGGAUAAAAAUGUAUAAAGAAAUCGUGUUUAGAAAUAUAAGAAAUAACGAUAAAUCAAAUAAAACCCCAAAGUCCCCGAAAUAACAACAAGACAGCUACUCAAUGAUAACACUGUAUUUUACUCAUUUUAGGUGUAUGUUUAUCAUCAUUUAGCUGUGCAUUUGCUCAUUGUAUCAGAUCAUUUUGCACCAUUUUAGCUUAUUUUGCAUACUUAGGCAUCUAGGAUCAUCUUGCAUUCGCAUUUCAUGUUUUGGUGUGUUUUCAGGUGCAGAAGGAUCUAAAAAGGACUCUACUCGACCUCUUUACUCGAUCCAGGAUGCUCAGAGGAGGCUGCAGUUUACUCGACCCUUUUAUUCGAUCAAGGCAACCUUAGAUGAAGCAGAAGAUUGAUCUACUCGCCCCUCCUACUCGAUCCUCUACUCGACCCAUUUACUCGACCAAGGGUGACCAACUCUACAAGACUUGUUGAGCUAUCAAAGCGUCUUGGGAUCCUCCUCAUUCCCUACUCAACCAGACAUCUGAGCAUACAGAUAGCAGAGGAAGAAGCAUCUACUCGACCAAUUGAUCACUCGGAGCAUAAACACAAAGGCGCAGACUUUGCAGCACCCUCUUUACUCGAUCCCCAAGAUCAAGUAUUCGCCGAAACCGCCUCAAGUCUCUUGUCUUCUAGUGAAUCUAGGGUUUCAACAUUUUACUAUAAAUAGAUAACUUUGGGGUUUGUCCAAAGGAUCUAGUUUUUAUCCUUUAGUUUUUCUUUGUGUUUAUGAAUCUUAAAACCUUAAUUACUCUUAAUCUAUUUCGUUUUUGCAUUUGAUUGUUUA